GAUCGGGAUGGGCGUUUCGCCUGAGCUCAGCAAAGGCGCUCUGCGGCCCAACGGCCCAGCUGACUGGACUCUUUGCUUGUUCCAGUCGCUCUUUCCCGAAGGGGCCCCAGUGACACCCGUAUUCACGAGACCGGGCCAUAAAUGCGCGUGGCUGACGGCGCUCGGCAUUGCGUUUUCUGAAAACACGACGACACUGGAUUGCAGCCAAAAUGCCAGGAUCAAAAGGUAAUAAAUCGGACAAGAAAUCCAACACAAAGCCUCCUCAGAGCCCCAAGGAUCAGCCCAAGAAAGGUGAUCAGAAGGGAGAUGAGAAACAGGGAGGACAGCAGAAGGAGAAGCAGUAACUUCCAGGCGUUUCUGAAGAUGGCGCUCGAGACACUGCUCGGCUCCUGUCGUCGCAGACACGGUGGCUCCCGUGGCUGGCAUGGCUGAGGACCCGACCCCCCUCGACCCCCCCACCCGGCUGAUCCCACUCUCCUGUCUCCGGUCCACGAAGCAGACGUUUGCAGACACACUUAACAGUCAGAGGUCCCUCCUCCUCUACUGCAUGCUGACCGACAGCAGUUUUCUAAACC